rnacentral:rRNA from 1 species
AACGAACGCUGGCGGCAUGCCUAACACAUGCAAGUCAAACGAAGCCUUCGGGCUUAGUGGCGCACGGGUGCGUAACGCGUGGGAAUCUGCCCUUGGGUUCGGAAUAACAGUUAGAAAUGACUGCUAAUACCGGAUGAUGUCUUCGGACCAAAGAUUUAUCGCCCAAGGAUGAGCCCGCGUAGGAUUAGGUAGUUGGUGGGGUAAUGGCCCACCAAGCCGACGAUCCUUAGCUGGUCUGAGAGGAUGAUCAGCCACACUGGGACUGAGACACGGCCCAGACUCCUACGGGAGGCAGCAGUGGGGAAUAUUGGACAAUGGGCGAAAGCCUGAUCCAGCAAUGCCGCGUGAGUGAUGAAGGCCUUAGGGUUGUAAGGCUCUUUUACCAGGGAUGAUAAUGACAGUACCUGGAGAGUAAGCUCCGGCUAACUCCGUGCCAGCAGCCGCCGUAA